AUGGCGUCCAAGUCCGCGGUCACCCCAGGUGGGCAGCCCAAGGGCAAGGAGGAGCCCUCCUCCAUGGCGGACGUGUACAACCACGAGCUGACGCCGCUGCAGAAGCACGUCGCCUUCUUCGACCGGAACAAGGACGGCGUCAUCCACCCCUCCGAGACCUACGAAGGGUUCCGCGCGAUCGGGUGCGGCGUCGCGCUGUCCGCCUUCAGCGCCGUCUUCAUCAACGGACUGCUCGGUCCCAAGACCAUACCGGAGAACAUGAAGGUUGGAGCUUUCAAGUUUCCGAUCUACGUAAAGAACAUCCACAAGGGCAAGCAUGGGAGCGAUUCGGGCGUGUACGAUGCCAAUGGAAGGUUUGUUCCUGAAAAGUUUGAAGAGAUAUUCAAAAAGCAUGCUCACACCAGGCCUGAUGCGCUGACAGGCAAAGAACUGAAUGAGUUGCUUCAAGCAAACAGGGAGCCUAACGAUUUGAAAGGACGAGUGGGUGGCUUCACGGAGUGGAAAGUUCUCUACUCGCUGUGCAAAGAUAAGGAGGGAUUUCUUCACAAAGAGACCGUCAGGGCAGUCUACGAUGGCAGCCUGUUUGUGAAGUUGGAGCAAGAGAGGAAGCAAGCUAAAGAAUAUGCCAAGAAGAAAUGA
rnacentral:rRNA from 1 species